AGUUAUUGUGUUUUGUCGUUAUUUAAUCGAUUGCUUAAAGUUUCAAUUUUUUUUUUUUAAUGAGUGCUUGAAUUCAAUUAAGCUCCUCUGCAUCGGCGCUUUUGCGCUGUGGUCUCUAUUUAUCUCCGCCCACGUUGCUUUGAAAUGUUAAAGUUUUCACAUUCUCACAUUACGCAUACGCCACGUGGGCUGGAUGUUUCGGUGGGUGCAUGCGUUAUUGUUAUGGGCUGCGAUGCGGUUCAUUUGGUUAAUGCACCUCAUCUGGGUCAGCCUAUUAUUCACGGUUGCAUUGUAUAAUGACAAUUCCUCCGAGUGGUAUGCACGUGUGUGUGUGAGUGUGAGUGGGCUGGCGCAUCUGUGCAUGGACAAUGCACAUGAGUGUGCCUCACAGGCACCAAUGUGUGCGUGUCUUUGUUGCCUUGCAGGCUUUUUGUUUUGGCCUACUAAACUUUCGAUGGUGGCUUCGUAUCUCAAAUGACGAGGCAACCACCUGGAACUCAUGCCUUUUUUGACAAGUGUUGUUGUUCCGUUUCCUAAGGAAUGUUACUAAUGUAUGAGAACUCGGUUAACGCAAUAUUAAAAUGGAUGGCAAGGGUAACACCCUUUUCAGCUUCUGUUGGUGGCACCUCAUAUGCAUUUUUCCCAGCAUCCGGCUCAUAUAUCCUUGUUUAUGGACGCGGAUGAGCGAGCCAUUGUGUUAAUGAAAUUUCCGCGUGUGCGAAAAGGGCUUUCAAUAAAUAAAGCGCGGGCAGUGGCCAAGUGCUCGAGCAUAAUUACGCGUUAAAAAAUUACAAUAAUUUUUAAUUAACAUUGCGAACGGGCUGCACUUUCGACCAGGUGGCGGCAGGAAGCCAGGAAGCAGUCACCUGCAACAGGAUGUCAAUUUAAAUAGCCGGAAGCCAGUGCCGGACUCCAAGGGACGUGUGAUUUGUGUACGUGGAGCGGAAGUGGCCGCCCGAUAAAGUCCAGGAAGUAUCCCAAAAGGAGUUGUCGACGAGACAGAGAUUAUUUUCGUUUUGUGCCCCAGCUGAUUGAAAUUUUAACUUCCGCCUGGGACGAAGGACGUCGAUUGAAUUACGAAACUUUUGACAUUUGCUGCAAAAGUAAUACUAAGGUAUGCUGGUAAUUAAAUUUUGCAAAAAUAGCCGAGGAAAUUUAAAAGUGCAUCUACAAUUGCUUUUUGGUGGUUUUUUUUUGUAAAGGUAUUAAGGAUUACGGUUUGCAGCCAAACUUGUAUGCAUAGCAAGAUACUUGUAGAACAAGAGGGGGUAUUUUAAUUUUGAAGAAAAGCUUUUAAAUGGUAGAAGGGAGCGGUUCUGACCCUAUUUAGAACAAUAUCGAUCCGAAUCCCUAGCAUAGUCAAGCUGGCCAUGUACUGUAAUAAACCAAUAUAUGCCACCAAUUG
ensembl:ncRNA lncRNA:CR44909 long non-coding RNA:CR44909